rnacentral:rRNA from 1 species
UUGUUACGACUUCACCCCAAUCAUGGACCAUACCUUGGACGGCUGCCUCCUUGCGGUUGGCUCACCGGCUUCUAGUGCAGUCCACUUUCGUGAUGUGACGGGCGGUGUGUACAAGGCCCGGGAACGUAUUCACCGCAGCGUUCUGAUCUGCGAUUACUAGCGAUUCCAGCUUCAUGGAGUCGAAUUGCAGACUCCAAUCCGAACUGAGGCCGGCUUUUUCCGAUUAGCUCCCCUUCGCAGGUUUGCGACGGUUUGUACCGACCAUUGUAGCACGUGUGUAGCCCUGGACAUAAAGGCCAUGAGGACUUGACGUCAUCCCCACCUUCCUCCCCGUUAUCCGGGGCGGUUUCACUAGAGUGCCCGACUUGACUCGCUGGCAACUAGGGAUAAGGGUUGCGCUCGUUGCGGGACUUAACCCAACAUCUCACGACACGAGCUGACGACAGCCAUGCAGCACCUCCGCGGCAGU